AGGUGCGAUCAUACCAGCAAUACUGGACCGGACCCCAUCAGAUCUCCGCAGUUAAGCGGGGUUGGGCGAAAGUAGUAUUAGGAUGGGGGACCUCCAGGGAAAGUCCCCGUGCUCGUUUGGU
rnacentral:rRNA from 2 species